UACGGAGGGUGCAAGCGUUAUCCGGAAUCACUGGGCUUAAAGGGAGCGCAGGCGGUCUGGUAAGUCAGAGGUGAAAGCCCGGCGCUCAACGUCGGAACUGCCUCUGAUACUGUCAGACUUGAGUAUUGUUGAGGUAGGCGGAAUGCGACAUGUAGCGGUGAAAUGCAUAGAGAUGUCGUAGAACACCAAUUGCGAAGGCAGCUUACUAAGCAUUACUGACGCUGAGGCUCGAAAGCGUGGGUAGCGAACAGG
rnacentral:rRNA from 1 species